rnacentral:rRNA from 1 species
GAUGAACGCUGGCGGCGUGCCUAAUACAUGCAAGUCGAACGAAACUUCUUUAUCACCGAGUGCUUGCACUCACCGAUAAAGAGUUGAGUGGCGAACGGGUGAGUAACACGUGGGCAACCUGCCCAAAAGAGGGGGAUAACACUUGGAAACAGGUGCUAAUACCGCAUAACCAUAGUUACCGCAUGGUAACUAUGUAAAAGGUGGCUAUACUACCGCUUUUGGAUGGGCCCGCGGCGCAUUAGCUAGUUGGUAGGGUAAAGGCUUACCAAGGCAAUGAUGCGUAGCCGAAUUGAGAGGUUGAUCGGCCACAUUGGAACUGAGACACGGCCCAAACUCCUACGGGAGGCAGCAGUAGGGAAUCUUCCACAAUGGGCGAAAGCCUGAUGGAGCAACGCCGCGUGGGUGAAGAAGGUCUUCGGAUCGUAAAACCCUGUUGUUAGAGAAGAAAGUGAGUGAGAGUAACUGUUCACGUUUCGACGGUAUCUAACCAGAAAGCCACUGCUAACUACGUG